rnacentral:rRNA from 1 species
AGAGUUUGAUCCUGGCUCAGGAUAAACGCUGGCGGCGUGCCUAAUACAUGCAAGUCGAUCGAUAGAAGUCCAGCUUGCUGGACGGAAAUAGAGGCGAACGGGUGAGUAAUACGUAAGCAACCUGCCCACGAAGACCGGGAUAAUCCCUGGAAACGGGGACUAAGACCGGAUAGGUACACAGAUCGCAUGAUCAGUGUAUUAAAGGAGAGAGACACUGGUGGAUGGGCUUACGGUGCAUUAGCUGGAUGGUGAGGUAACGGCCCACCAUGGCGAUGAUGCAUAGCCGGGCUGAGAGGCUGAACGGCCACAUUGGGACUGAGACACGGCCCAGACUCCUACGGGAGGCAGCAGUAGGGAAUUUUCGGCAAUGGGGGCAACCCUGACCGAGCAACGCCGCGUGAGUGAUGAAGGUCUUCGGAUUGUAAAGCUCUGUUGUAAGGGAAGAACGGCAUCUAGAGAAUAGGUGAGUGACGGUACCUUACCAGAAAGCUACGGCUAACUACGUGCCAGCAGCCGCGGUAAUACGUAGGUAGCGAGCGUUAUCCGGAAUUAUUGGGCGUAAAGGGUGCGUAGGCGGCCUGUUAAGUUUAUGGUGAAAGCGUGGGGCUCAACCCCAUAAAGCCAUAGAUACUGGCAGGCUAGAGUACUGGAGAGGGUAGUGGAAUUCCAUGUGUAGCGGUAAAAUGCGUAGAUAUAUGGAGGAACACCGGUGGCGAAGGCGGCUACCUAGACAGAGACUGACGCUGAGGCACGAAAGCGUGGGGAGCAAAUAGGAUUAGAUACCCUAGUAGUCCACGCUGUAAACGAUGAAUGCUAGGUAUCGGGGCGACCCGGUGCCGAAACUAACGCGAUAAGCAUUCCGCCUGUGGAGUAUGCACGCAAGUGUGAAACAUAAAGGAAUUGACGGGGGCCCGCACAAGCGGUGGAGUAUGUGGUUUAAUUCGACGCAACGCGAAGAACCUUACCAGGCCUUGACAUCCCUUGCAAAAUCCUGGAGACAGGACAGAGGUUAU